CCCUCCACAAGUACGAUGGAUUCGGAGCAGUGAGCAUUCGUUAUACCAUGAUGCUCCAUAUAGGAGGGAUCGUCGCAGUUACAGCAUUGCAAGGUAACCUAAAGCUUCUGCAGUGUUAAACAUUAACACAAGCUCAUAAGCUUCUGUAGUCCAUUGGGUGGCUCUUGCAGAGGAUGGACUACUCUCCACAACCCUUUUCUUUUUCCAAGCACAUCGAAUUCUACAUUUAAUGGAUUUUGGAUCAGAGAUCAUUCCAAUGGCUGCUGAAGAAUACAAUGUUCAGGCAUAUCUAUUUAAUGGCUACUGGGAAGAUAUUAGGACCAUUUAUUCCUUUUUUUAUGCUAACUUGGCUCUCACAGAUUAGAUGAAGGAAUGGGUAUUGUAUGUUGGAACAAAAGGUUGCUGAUAACAGGUAUCUCUAGAGCUGUUCUAUGCAUUUCCAUUUCAUCUUCUUUUCCUUCUGUCAUUUUAACUCUCUCACAUUAGUUUUCUUUAGGUCAGACUUUUGGUUGGGGCAUAGUUAGUACCUGAUGUAUAGUUUGGGGCAGAGUUACUGUUUGAUGUAGUGGGUUGCAAAUCCAAGAGAAUUACAGCCGCACACAAGAAAACUCUUGUGUGCUUUUUUUCCCUCCAUUCAUUGUUACUUCUGUUUUGCCAAUAAUCUUCAUUAGAACUUGUGGCUUUCCAUUUCAUCAUCAUCGCCAAGUUUAGUUUAAUCCACUGAUGAAUCUAAAACUGAUCAUCAUCAUCAUCAUUGGGUUUAGCUUAAUCUACUGACAAAUUUUUUUAAAAAGCUACCACCUUGGAAAUUUUGGUCCAUUCCAUCCUUGAUUUAUGAAAGCUACUAACUUCAUGAGAAGAGUAUGAUUAGUUUUGUUUUGUUUAUUUUUAUUUUUAUUUUUAUGUUUUGUAUUGACUUGAUUUAUGUAUAGACCAUGUACCUAGUUCUAAUGGAGAAACCAGGUGCAAGGAUGGGCUUUCAUCAGACAUUGUACAUGAGACAUACAUGAACUCAAAUUGAAACCGGAUUGAAUUAUGUGACCUACUGUCUUGAAGUAAUUGUCCCAAAAUCAAAUUGGUUGAGCAAUCAUGAUCUUUGAUUCGUAGACACAUGUUUCUUGAAAUACAUGGAGAACAGAUUGAAAAAUGCUUGGUAUCUGCGUCAGAAUGUUCACAUGAACUCUUGAAACAAGCAGGAAGCAGCUGCAUGCAAUUCUAUUCAAGUGAGGAGCCGUGAGCCUUGGGGCUUUUUCAGUGGGGUACACUGGACUUAGAUUGAAAAAAUAGAUUAAAAAAAAACCUUUAAAAUCACAUUUAAGAUGGCCCUCAUUAGCUGAGAUUCUUUGACAUUAACAAGGCUUGUGUAGGAGAACUACAUCUCACAUGGAGAAACAGGUACUAAAAAAUAGACUGAACAAGUAAUGACUUUUGUUGUCACCUUUUCUAAUUUGGCAGCUACCUUAACUGUUGGCAUCUACUAGAAAAUCAUUGUUUACUUUUUGUCAUAGCUAGACUAGAAGAAAAGCUCUUGGACAUGGUAUGAACCGCGUCUCUCUAUCUUUCUUUUUCUUUUUUAUAUGCUUUUAUAUGAC